GCUGUUUGUGUUUAGGUGGCUGUAGGGAGGUCGCAGACUCCCCACCUCUCCUACUGGGCGUGUCAGUUAAAUGUUUGUUUGCCAGGAGCGGCUGGCUAAUCUGCCGUGGAGCCCGCCAGCUGUUUUGUCCUUCCGGGUGGCUUCGAAGUCCAGUGUUGGCACCCAUAAAUACGCCUGGACUGCCUCUGCUCCUUGGAAGUCCGCCGUCUGCAGAAGCUGAGCACGACGGUUGCGGCAUCGGUGUCCCUGGGUGGUGGGUCUCCCUCCCGUGUGAUGUGCUGCGCACCCCUUUUUGUUUGAGUGUGUUCACCUUUAUUUUCAGCGAGUGAGAGUGUCCACGUGUGUCUGGGGUGAUCCUUCCGAGGCCUUCAUUCCCUCUUCUACCCGUGUCCCACCGGUAAGCCUCAGCUCCUGUUUGGGCUCCCCCUC